rnacentral:rRNA from 1 species
UACAGAGGGUGCAAGCGUUGUUCGGAAUUACUGGGCGUAAAGCGCGUGUAGGUGGCGUUGUAAGUCGGAUGUGAAAUCCCUCGGCUCAACCGAGGAAGUGCAUUCGAUACUGCGAUGCUUGAGUACCGGAGGGGAUGGCGGAAUUCCCGGUGUAGAGGUGAAAUUCGUAGAUAUCGGGAGGAACACCUGUGGCGAAGGCGGCCAUCUGGACGGUCACUGACACUGAGACGCGAAAGCGUGGGUAGCAAACAGG